GAGCAAAUUAAUCAGAUCGGGCACCUAAUAAUUAUUUAAGUAAUGAAGGCUCUGGUAGAUUGCUAGAACUUCAGUAUUGUAAGUGAUACCAUGCUUUAGCACCCCCCUCUGUAUCAUCAAGCCUAGGGGAACUCUGGUUGAGAGCUUAUCUCUCUGGGAUACUCAGCAACAUACAUAAGGGUCCAUCUGAGAAUAUUUACAAGUCAGUGUAAGAACACACAGGUGAAGUCAGUCAGUUCCUUGCUUCAACAACUCUGUUGCUUUAUAGCCAUGAGUUGUAUGGUCAUUUCAGAGUGAUCCCUGAGUACCCACAUGUACACUGAUCUGCUUUGAUUUUCUUUGUGAAUGCAUGUGUUACACCUUUAUCCCAUAAGAUGCAACUCAUGUCUUUUAAAUCGUCCAAAGCUAUUACCACAGACAGAGCAAAAAAUCAGAGAGUCCUCAGGAAUUCCUGAUGAGAAAAAUCUGUGUUCCACCUCCUCCACUUCCCCUCAGUGAGCUCAAAUUGACUCAUUCAUGUAUGAGAGAAGAGACUAAAUGUAACCACAGGAAAGCCUUUAUACAACUUGAGUCUCACAGGAGGGCCCUGUGGGCUCAAGUAAACAGUGAGGUCCUCUUCUACACACUGAUGGCACCAUGUUACCCAUUGGAGCAUCAUCUGCACCACAAGAAGAAGUGAGGACACACCCUGAAGCAGAGCAAGUUGCCUCGGUACUGUUGAAGUCAGUGAAGCUUCAGCAGUUUGUCCCGGUUGUGAAGUGCAGAAUAUUGAGAAUGUUUGUUCCAGCUCUGCCUCUGGCCUGGGAUUUCACUCUGCUCAGCUUGGUUAGAAGAGGAAGGGACCUCAGCACUACUACAUCAGGAAAUCUAAGCAGUCCCAGUCCUUUGUAGUGCCUGGGGGAAGGCUGGAUCCUCUGCCCAUCCCAGUUGUGCUGCUGCUGCUCUGAAUGUACUUCCACUCGUAUCAGCUUCAAGCUUCACUGCGAGAGAGACAUUGAGGCCCUGGAGCAUCUUCAAAGAAGGGCAACAAGGCUGGUGAGGGGUCUGGAGCACGGGCCUUAU